rnacentral:rRNA from 1 species
AAAUUGAAGAGUUUGAUCAUGGCUCAGAUUGAACGCUGGCGGCAGGCCUAACACAUGCAAGUCGAGCGGAAACGAGUUAAC